CACAUGCUGUUCUUGUGAUAAUGAGUGAGUCUCGCGAGAUCUGAUGGUUUUAUAAGCAUCUGACAUUUCCCCUGCUUGCUCUCAUUCUCGCUCCUGCCGCCCUGUGAGAAGGUGCUUUCCACCAUGACUGUCAGUUUCCUGAGGCCUCCCCAACUAUAAGAAAUUGUCACAUAGUGGAGCCAGAAGUGGGACUGAAGUGAACUCUGAAGUGAACUCAUCUAGGACAAAUCAGAGUUUCCUGGAAUCUAACGCAGCGUUGACUGAGCCCUCUGCAGACUGCCUUUCCAGGAGUUGAUUUUCUGUUCUGGUGAAUCUCCUUGAAUACUCAGACUCCCUCCCUUUGAGAUGGGGUUUCGAUGUGUUGCCCAGUCUGAUCUCCAACUUCUGGACUCAAGUGAUUCACUCACCGUGGCCUCCCAAAGUGCUGGGAUUACAAGCAUGAGCCUCCGCGCCCAGCCUGAGAUUCCUGUUCCGUCAACGUAGAGAGGAAAAGUUAUGUGUAUGAAGAAAAGCUUUACACCUGUUACUAGAUUGCAGCCCUGUGCUUUAUUUAUGAGUUCUUUGAUCUACCCGUAGAGAGGACUAGAUCCUGAAUUCUUCUAGCUUCCUCAAAUCCAACUAUCU